CGCACGACUCCACGCACAGCUGUUGUACAUUCACAAGUCUCAGGAGGAGGUACCAGUAUGCUAGAGGCCGGUGUAAUUGAUGAAGUUUUUAGGAAGAGAAGAGAAGUGGAGAGAAGGGAAGGGAAGAGAAGGGAAGGAAAGAGAAGAGAAGAGAAGAGAAGAGAAGAGAAGAGAAGAGAAGAGAAGAG
rnacentral:lncRNA from 14 species